GGGUGCGUAGCUCAGCGGGAGAGCACCGUCUUCACACGGCGGGGGUCGCAAGUUCAAUCCUUGCCGCACCCACCA
rnacentral:tRNA from 1 species